UACAGGGGGUGGCAAACAGUUGCUCGGAAUUAUUUGGGCGUAAAGCGCGCGUAGGCGGCUACUUAAGUCGGAUGUGAAAGCCCUUGGCUCAACUGGAGGAAGUGCACCCGAAACUGAGUGGCGUUGAGUACUAAAAGAGGGUCGGCGGAAUUCCCGGUGUAGAGGUGAAAUUCGUAGAUAAUCGGGAGGACACCGGUGGCGAAGGCGG
rnacentral:rRNA from 1 species